UACGUAGGGUGCAAGCGUUGUCCGGAAUUAUUGGGCGUAAAGAGCUCGUAGGCGGUUUGUUGCGUCGGCUGUGAAAUCCCGAGGCUCAACCUCGGGUCUGCAGUCGAUACGAGCAAACUAGAGUGGUUGCAGGGGAGACGUGGAAUUCCUGGUGAUAGCGGUGAAAUGACGCAGAUAUCAGGAGGAACACCGGUGGCGAAGGCGG
rnacentral:rRNA from 1 species